rnacentral:rRNA from 1 species
GCUGAAAGCAUCUAAGCGGGAAGUCGACCUUAAGAUUAAUCUUCUUAGACACCUCAGAGACUAUGAGGUUGAUAGGCACUAGGUGUAAGCUCGGUAACGAGUUCAGCCAAGGUGUACUAAUUGGUCAUAUGGCU